AGCUCCAAUAGCGUAUAUUAAAGUUGUUGCAGUUAAAAAGCUCGUAGUUGAACUUUAGGCAAGGCGGUCUGGUCGCCCACUGGGUGUACUGGACUCGCCGCGCCUCACCUUCGGGGAACUAGUUGUGCUUCGGUGCGCUAGGGAACCGAGCCUUACUUUGAAGAAAUUAGAGUGUUUAAAGCAGGCUUACGCUUGAAUACAUCAGCAUGGAAUAACAUGAUAGGACUUUGGUUCUAUUUUGUUGGUUUGAGGACCAAAGUAAUGAUUAAUAGGGCCAGUCGGGGGCAUUAGUAUUCUAUAGUCAGAGGUGAAAUUCUUGGAUUUAUAGAAGACUAACUAAUGCGAAAGCAUUUGCCAAGGAUGUUUUCA
rnacentral:rRNA from 1 species